rnacentral:rRNA from 1 species
CAAGUCGAACGGAGCUUAGAGAGCUUGCUUUUUAAGCUUAGUGGCGAACGGGUGAGUAACGCGUGAGUAACCUGCCCUAGAGUGGGGGACAACAGUUGGAAACGACUGCUAAUACCGCAUAAGCCCACGGUACCGCAUGGUACUGAGGGAAAAGGAUUUAUUCGCUUUAGGAUGGACUCGCGUCCAAUUAGCUAGUUGGUGAGGUAACGGCCCACCAAGGCGACGAUUGGUAGCCGGACUGAGAGGUUGAACGGCCACAUUGGGACUGAGACACGGCCCAGACUCCUACGGGAGGCAGCAGUGGGGGAUAUUGCACAAUGGAGGAAACCCUGAUGCAGCGACGCCGCGUGGAGGAAGAAGGUUUUCGGAUUGUAAACUCCUGUCGUUAGGGACGAUAAUGACGGUACCUAACAAGAAAGCACCGGCUAACUACGUGCCAGCAGCCGCGGUAAAACGUAGGGUGCAAGCGUUGUCCGGAAUUACUGGGUGUAAAGGGAGCGCAGGCGGGAAGACAAGUUGGAAGUGAAAACCAUGGGCUCAACCCAUGAAUUGCUUUCAAAACUGUUUUUCUUGAGUAGUGCAGAGGUAGAUGGAAUUCCCGGUGUAGCGGUGGAAUGCGUAGAUAUCGGGAGGAACACCAGUGGCGAAGGCGGUCUACUGGGCACCAACUGACGCUGAGGCUCGAAAGCAUGGGUAGCAAACAGGAUUAGAUACCCUGGUAGUCCAUGCCGUAAACGAUGAUUACUAGGUGUUGGGGGAUUGACCCCCUCAGUGCCGCAGUUAACACAAUAAGUAAUCCACCUGGGGAGUACGACCGCAAGGUUGAAACUCAAAGGAAUUGACGGGAGCCCGC